CCUACGGGUGGCUGCAGUGAGGAAUAUUGGUCAAUGGGCGCGAGCCUGAACCAGCCAAGUCGCGUGAGGGAAGACGGUCCUAUGGAUUGUAAACCUCUUUUGUCGGGGAGCAAAAGACGCCACGCGUGGCUUUCCGAGAGUACCCUAAGAACAAGCAUCGGCUAACUCCGUGCCAGCAGCCGCGGUAGUACGGGGGAUGCGAGCGUUAUCCGGAUUGAUUGGGUUAAAAGGGUGAGCAGGCGGAAGAUCAAGUCAGCGGUAAAAUUGAGAGGCUCAACCUCUUCGAGCCGUUGAAACUGGUUUGCUUGAGUGAGUGAGAAGUAUGCGGAAUGCGUGGUGUAGCGGUGAAAUGCAUAGAUAUCACGCAGAACUCCGAUUGCGAAGGCAGCAUACCGGAGCUCAACUGACGCUCAUGCACGAAAGUGUGGGUAUCGAACAGGAUUAGAUACCCCAGUAGUC
rnacentral:rRNA from 1 species